CAAUAUAGUGAAACAUAACGAAGGUUACAUUUGUAACCAUGGUUAUGUGUGCUAUAUGGAUCACUCCAAUCCUCUACGGUGCUAGAGGCGCCUCAAAUUAUGUAGAGAACGUGUGUCAUGGGGUCUACAGUGUAUACAUAGGGGCGGACCCCAGCUGUGACACAGGUGUACACGGGAGUAAAUCUGUAAAUUCUCACCUCGGAUGUAUCCCUCCAUCGCAGAGUGAUACCAAUAUAUUGUAGUGGUCCAUAUAGCUCACAUAACAGUGGUUACAUAUGUAACCCUCGUUGUAGUACCCAGCGUGGUUCAAUAACAUUCCGUCUUUCAUAAGGAGAAAUGUUGAGCUUUGAUUUGCAGCAGGUACAGUCUUUACACACAGGAUGUCCACUUCAUGCUGCAGAGAAAGCUCUCCUUAUGAAACUAUGCACAAGCACUGUUCAUUAACUGCAAGAAAUCAUUGGAAAAUGUGAUAAUAACAUCACACAGGUAAACAUGUCUUCUGUCUGCAGUCUCCCUGGCUAAGCAUGGCAGGGAUGGAUGUCCAAAAUUUGUCCUGGAGAGGUGGUGAAUGUGCAAGAUUUUGUUCCAGUCCAACAUUAACGAAAAAUGUUGUUAAUAGUAUGUUAUGAUUUAGUGCUAGGCUGGAACAAAAGCCUGCCCUGCAGGGCCUGCACAUACUGCAUGCCUCCUGGACCAGGAUUGGGCAACCCCUGACUUAAAUGUAAUGUAUAUUUAGGAUAGUGUGUAUGUGUAAUGCCCCCUUGUUACAUGAGGAGGCCCAAAAGGAGGGGAGGAGGGCCAUGGAGGGGCUGAUCAGUCUGUUUGUAGGAGACAAAGCUGCUGUCAUGGUGGAGGUAAGCAGAUCUCAUUCACUCAAUGAGAUCCUAUCACUCAUCCUCCUCAAUGCUGUCUGCAAGCAAUAUUUAAGUUGACUGUUAUGAAGUUUGACGGUCAUCUUACUUUGUUUAGUUUGAUAAAGGCUUUUGUGUAAACUUAAAUAUAGUAGUAGUUCCACUGUGAUCAGAUGUAGCUGUAUCUCAAUGUCCUCCAUGUCUGUGUGUGCUGUAGGUGAACUGUGAAACAGACUUUGUUGCCUGUAAAUGAGAGGUUCCAGCAGCUGGGGAAGGAUGUGGCGUUUGCCACCAUGGCUCACCACCUCAGUAAAAACCAGAGUCACACUGGAUACGUGAAGUGUCUCCUGGCAGCAGAAGACCUCUCUAAACUGAACUUGGGUGAAGGUGCUUCUCUGGCUGAUCAGCUAGCUCUUACCGUAGGUUGUCUGGGUGAGACAUGUCAGUGAAGCGGGCGGUGACGGUGGGCUGCACAUCAGCUACUACAUCCACAGUGGCGUUGCAGGCCAGUCUGACAUGGCCAUGGGCUAUACGGCGCCCUCGUGGUGUUCCAGGGGGGCAAGGACGAGGCGCAGGACACACUGGGAGGAAGCUGAGGCAUCCUGUUGUGGGAGAGGCCCCCAUAUCCCUGGGCAGCACGGAUGACCUGCCCUGUCGGGACACGGAGACACGCCUGUUGGCGCAAUCCUUCCUCCCUGACCCCAGUAGGACAGUUGCCCAGUACCUGACAGAGCAGGGGGCUCGAGUUGUGGACUUUGUUUGCGUUCAGUGUUGGGAGGCGGGCAGUGAUGGGGCAUAGUGAAAGGGAGAGGAGAGCAUCUCAAAGACCUUACAUGUUUUGUUAUCUGCCUUUUUUUGUUUCUGAAUUAGAUCACAGUGCAGACGCUCAGUCGGUGUCAUGCAAAUGCACUCAAGCAAUUUCAGUGUCUCAUGUUUCAAGGCUGUAUGUGACGCCUAAUAUACACUGAGUAUACCAAACAUUAGGAACACCAUAUCCCCCCAGCAAUAAAUAUAUUUGAAGCU